UGAGGAACAUGACCUCCGGCGGGGGAUAGCCGGCCCAACGGCCGGGUAAUACCGCGUACGACCACAUGGGAACAUCCCCGAGUGGUGAAAGCAGCAAUGCGCCGAUGGAGUGCCUCGCGGCCUAUCAGCUAGUUGGUGAGGUAACGGCUCACCAAGGCGACGACGGGUAGCCGGCCUGAGAGGGUGACCGGCCACACUGGGACUGAGACACGGCCCAGACUCCUACGGGAGCAGCAGG
rnacentral:rRNA from 1 species